GUGCUGGAUUGGGCGUGUCAGGAGCAACACCUAAUCGAGUCAUAAAAAUCAUGAUAGUGGACUAUAUAUUAUUGGAGUGUCAACGCUCCGAGGCCGCUCUCCUGCUCGGAAGAGGAAGCAGAGGACGAGAUUACGCCAGCCGGGAUCGCAUCAAACACAAAGUGUACAAGAACACCUGAAGUCAUGUACUGAAAUAAUACUCUCACACUCACACACACAUACACAAGCUAACACGGAGAACGGAUGAAAAGAAGAGAGUUACGGGUGGUGAAUUCCAUCCCGUCCGCC